rnacentral:ncRNA from 1 species
GUCUUAUAUUAGAUGUAGCCACGCAAGACAGUGACGCAUCUCCCUGUAGGACGGGAACUUUGAGCAGAAGCAUGUGCGACAAGUCUUAUUGCGUGGCUUUUUAGUUGAAAUAAGGUGAGUACGUGUGGAAUAGGCUAAUCGUAGGGCCUUAGAUUGAAAAAUCUUAAAACUAAUCUAAGAAUUGUAAGGAUUAGAUUUUUUAUUUUUUUUACAAUUUUUAGUUGCGAUACC